rfam:Alligator mississippiensis ScZkoYb_1949, whole genome shotgun sequence.
UGAUGAGAAUUCUCCGGAAUCUCUGUACCGCCGUGAUGAUUCCCGCGAACCCUUUUCCAGCUGAUGACUGUCGGGUUUUGC